CUGACGAGGGCACAGUGAUUUACAGGCCAAGGCUGCUAGCUGACCUUGUCCCCAGCAGAGACGCUUCCACAAGCUUGUCUUCCAAGAGAUGAUUCGCCGUUUGUGCUGCUUGGACUUGGCGUGCUUCUCCGAUUCCUUUAACCAAAGAGGAAACGGGAAGCCUGAAGUAAGCGCCUGUGUCCUAAGGAGAAGGGUGGAGGCGGGCUUGUGCCUCAGUGGGGAGAUUGCCUGGGUCUGGCUCUGUAAGGAUAAUGGGGGUUUCUGCUCGCGCUUUCCCCUCCGAAAGCCCUUCCCAUUCCGACGUCUCUGUGAGCCAGGUCGAGGAGACCCUGGAAGAGGCAGCACACGCUGGGUGAGGAGGUGGCACGGUCAGGGCUGUGCUAGGGAGUGGCAGAGCCCGCCCAGAGCCGGGCUGGGCUUCUCGUCUGCUUGUCUGUCCACCACCCCAAACCCAGUGUGGGCAGGAGGGCGGAGGAGCGCAGGGCCUGUGCUGACCUGCCUGGACUCAGGAGGUGCCGAGGGGAGAAGCAGCUGCAAGGCCGGUGAUGGAUGUCCACGGCUAACGGAAAUGCCGGAGACCUGUUUUAGGAGAGAUGUCAAUUAGAGCCAUCUGCACGGUGCAUAAAGGAGCCCUACCCCAGCUGUACUGUUGAAACAUGUUAGCGUGUUCCUACCAGCGGCCAUGUGGUACUUAACGAAAGUGAAUUGUUCACACUGCACAGCCCGCGCCUCCUGAUGAAUACUAGUAUUUUGUUUGGGAAAAUAGUUCUUCUGUCAUGUGGAAUAUUUUUCAAUGCAGCACGCAGCAAGUUGGAAGCCAAUGCGCCCUAGAAUGCAGACUCCUCGCCACCUCACGAUGCCCACCUUCAGCCCACUGCCGCCCGCCCCACCUGGCGGCAUACCACACCUGGCCACGGUUCUUAGCAUCUGUCUGAAUCAGCUCUGAAGCAGGGGCCGGAGAGGGUUCUCACCCCACCCUCAACUUCUCUCCUUGCAGGAAAACCAAAACUGUGCCAAGUAAGGGCACUGGGCUUCAUCUAGAAGAAGGAGUUCCCUUGGGGUGUGGUCCUUGUAAGAAGUUCAUAAGCCUGAUGAGGAGGCGCACACCUGUGGCCCUCAGAGGCUGAGGCAGGAGGGUGACAAGUUUGAGGCUCUGGACUACAGCAGCUUUCAGAGUAACCUGGAAUACACAGUGAGAUGCUGCCUAAGGUGGGGCGAGUGCAGUUGGCAAGCAGAGCCCUGGAUGCUUAGCAAGGUAUAGUGGGGCUAGGACUGUUUCUGGGGCCCCACAGAAGCCUGAUCGGAAGCCUCUCUCCUCACCAGUGAAAGCAAAUCUUGAGUCAGUAGUGACCAGAAGUCCUUGCCACACAGGGGCCAGAUGGCAGGACCUGGGCACAGCUGCCCAUGGGCUCAACAGCUGAGCGCAGGUAUGUUGGGCACCUGUUGCUUUGGAUGCUCCGAAACUGGCCAGGGCCAGACUCAGGCCUUCCUGUGCAGAGGAUCAAGGGCCCCGCCUUGCAGUCGUGGAGGAGCUGGCAGCUGUGCUCUGGCAGGGGCACCCUGAACUCUGCUGGGCUCUGUGGCCUCAGUGCGCUGACAGCCCUCCGGUCAGGGCCACCAGGAGGGAGCUGUUUUAUUGCAGCCUGUUCUAGGAUCAACAGGAUUUUACUCACUGGCAAUAACUGUUCCGGAACUUUCCCUAGAACCAGAGUCACUUAUUAAAGCUUAAUAAAAGGCAAGAUUGACUGCAGCUGGUGACGGAGAAGACCUGCCUCAGUCCUGAUAACCGACACAUUCUUCACAACACUGCAAUCCCAUAAAUCUCACUUAUUUCCACUUCUGCAAGCAACUGAUCCCGAGUUACAGUAAUGAUCCUAAGUUCAGCUGAACAUGUUCUUAAAGGAAAUCCUUCUGGGUGAAAAAUAGCUGGUAGGUGCUCGUACCUGUCCCUUGUCUGCAGGCUGUGCCAUUCGAUUCCACCUCUGGGCCCUGGUGUUUGCCCCAACCCGUAACAGAUGAGGGUCUGGAAGGACCAAGUCGCAGCGAGCCCCCAGUGGCACCUCGGCAGGGGGAUGACGGCUCAUGGCAGCUCUGCUGCCCAGGCAUCUCUAGUAAUCAGUGGCCUUCCCCGGCAACCAGGCCAGGAUGGCCACAGACCGGAAUCUCGGUUUCACUUUCUUUUCAGGCAGAGCACUUCUUUAAAGAGGGAUCCACAGGGUGACCAGUCUACGGGAUUAUCUUAAUUUGGAACUGAGGCUGCAGUGCUGGGGAGCCCACAGCACUAGAGUGUGUGUUUACAGGGUUGGGGUGUGGGUGUCAGCCAGAGCAGACAAACCCCCAGUGUCGCCCACCCAGCCCUGCUCAAUGAGAAGGGAUGAGGCAGAAAGUCUGCUGGCCGCAGGCCUCUGCAAGCCCAGGAGUGCUGGCCUGGCUCCAGCCACCAGCUGCACAGAGGUGAACUUUGGUGGAGGAGGGAGGCAGCCCCGCAGCUGUGUGUGCAGAGAGGAGGGGCCCGGGGAGCCAGGGGAGCUCAGAGAGCCCUCGGAGAGGUGUUCCAGGUGCCGCGUGACGGGUCUUUGGGCAGCUCAGGAAGUUUCCUGCCAACACAGCGAGCAGCUCUCAGUCCUCCCUGCAUGGAAAGGAGUGUGGAGACAGGAAAUCAAGCUUGGGUGUCCAAAGGCAGUAAAGAAACCGUGCGUGCAUGGAGGGGGCAUGUGAGAGGGUGCACAGGGUGGCGCAGAUCUGUGCAUGACUUGGGCUGUGGCUCCAACAGGCAGCCGUUCCUGGGGCUAGGAGCCAAGGUCGGGCCUGGGGGUGUCUGCCUUUCUGAAAGCUUCUUUCAAGGCAGGAGGAAAAUGAAGGC
rnacentral:lncRNA from 1 species